rnacentral:rRNA from 1 species
AUACGGGGGGGGUAAGCGUUGUUCGGAAUUACUGGGCGUAAAGGGCUCGUAGGCGGCCAACUAAGUCAGACGUGAAAUCCCUCAGCUUAACUGGGGAACUGCGUCUGAUACUGGAUGGCUUGGAUCCGGAAGAGGGAUGCGGAAUUCCAGGUGUAGCGGUGAAAUGCGUAGAUAUCUGGAGGAACACCGGUGGCGAAGGCGGCAUCCUGGGCCGGUAUUGACGCUGAGGAGCGAAAGCCAGGGGAGCAAACG